UACGGAGGGGGCUAGCGUUGUUCGGAAUUACUGGGCGUAAAGCGCACGUAGGCGGUCACUCAAGUCAGAGGUGAAAGCCCAGGGCUCAACCCUGGAAUUGCCUUUGAAACUAGGUGACUUGAACACGGGAGAGGUGAGUGGAAUUCCGAGUGUAGAGGUGAAAUUCGUAGAUAUUCGGAAGAACACCAGUGGCGAAGGCGGCUCACUGGACCGUUGUUGACGCUGAGGUGCGAAAGCGUGGGGAGCAAACAGG
rnacentral:ncRNA from 2 species